ACCUUACCCACCUUUGACAUGUACGGAAGUUGCCAGCAGAUGGCUUCGUGCUCGAAAGAGAGCCGUAACACAGGUGCUGCAUGGCUGUCGUCAGCUCGUGUCGUGAGAUGUUGGGUUAAGUCCCGCAACGAGCGCAACCCUUGCCAUUAGUUGCUACGAAAGGGCACUCUAAUGGGACUGCCGGUGACAAACCGGAGGAAGGUGGGGAUGACGUCAAGUCCUCAUGGCCCUUAUAGGUGGGGCUACACACGUCAUACAAUGGCUGGUACAGAGGGUUGCCAACCCGCGAGGGGGAGCUAAUCUCAUAAAACCAGUCGUAGUCCGGAUCGCAGUCUGCAACUCGACUGCGUGAAGUCGGAAUCGCUAGUAAUCGCGGAUCAGCUUGCCGCGGUGAAUACGUUCCCGGGCA
rnacentral:rRNA from 1 species